UGUUUGUCGAGCACUCGAGUUACUCGUAAUAUAAUUUCGCAAUGAAAAUAAAUACGUAUCUACGUGCCGGUUAUCUCAGUGGAAUGCCAAUGUCCCGGCAGCUAUCCUGCUGGACUUACGGGUCUCCCCGGCUAUACUCCUCCUCCGAUCAUCAUAACUAAGAGCAGCAACAACGACAAGGACUUAAUGUACCCCAUCCUUCUCUUGCUGCUGCUUGGCAACGGAGGUUUUGGUUGUGGUUGUUAAAUUAUUUUAUUUGCGGUCUGUCUCAAUAUCUACUUACUGAUGAGUUUCUAAUAGCCCAUCCAGACAGAUAGACUACCAGGCAAUUGUUAGCAAGUGGUGAAACAAUGUCCAUAAGUGUACUAAUUCCUAUAUUUUAUCUAUACAACAAUGUACAAUUGCACAGAUAUAUAUAUAAUACCUACUUAUAUAAUAUUCUAGACAGACAUUAAACCUUUUACCAAAUCAAAUUAUGAAUUACCUGUUCGAUUUUUAAUUUAUUAAUAUUUAAACAUAAUACCUAUUGCAUGUUAUCUGUCUCUACCUUAUACAUACACCCUUAUUUAUAGCCCGACCAACCCAAACCUGUCCGCACACACCAUGUAUGAUUGUAUGGGUUUGUAAAGUAUAAAGUUGCAUGGGUAAUGUCACAAGACUGUAAUUGCACUGCAUCUAAUGGCACAUACAACUUCAUAAAUUACAAUCGAGUGCGACGGGCGAGGUGUUUGGUGUGACAAGGUUUUUAUAGUUAAGUAUAUCAAGCAUUUCCACAAAUAUAGU
rnacentral:misc_RNA from 1 species